AGAGAGAAGAAGAAGGAGAAGAAGAAGAAAGAGAAA
rnacentral:sRNA from 1 species